rnacentral:lncRNA from 1 species
CUCAGCAAAUGCGAAUAGAGAACUAAACUAAAGUUGAUAGGCAAAGUUCAAAUAUCAUACUAAUUUCAUUCACGACAACUGACAAAGAAAUUCCAAAGUGCAUCUCUCAUCAAUACAUCCAACACAACAUCAAUUCCUGAAUUAAACUGACAGGACCUCAUCCAAGAAAAUAAGAAGUAACAAAAAAAAAUAGAUGGGCCGAAGCAUAAGUAAACGUUAAACUCACCAGUUCAAAGUUGCAGAACUAAAGAAUAAAAUUGAAUUCUAUCACAACCAUUCAAGUAACAUGUAUUCCUCCACUCCACUCUUCAUAAUCGUCCAAUUCACUAGCUUCAAGCAUAGUUCAACCUGAAAAUGUCAUUCAACACAUAAAAACUCCCUUGCGGUGUAGGAAUCAAAUGGAACAUCUGGGAACAAAUUGGAUGAUAAAAUGAAGUCCAAAUUGAAGUCUAUUUAGAAAAAAAAGGAGUUAAAAAGUCAUAUAGCCUCCCCAAUCCUGGGCAUUAUAAAUUUAUACACCUGUAUACAUGGACAUCACCACAAACCCAAUACAUACAUACUAGAAUUAGCAAGCCAGCUAUAAAUUCCAUUUCUUUCCCUUUCAUCAAGUAGAAAACCUAGUGAGCAAGAGAAGAAUGAGACAACCGAGAAUGAGACAACCACUGGGUAAUAUGUAUUUUAACAGUAAAUAUAUAUGACAGCAUCAUGUUAGCCUAUGAUCAGACAAAAGCCUAUUCAAAACAAUAUAAUUUAGAAUAAAAAGCCAAUUCAAAACAAUAUAAGCUAAAAACAGUAGAGGAAUUUGAUAUGGAAAAGUAACUGCAUUGAGCAAUUCAAAAAUAUUGCAUCCAAUUGAAUUUUUUUUAAAAAAAUAGUGAUGGUAAUGCAACAUCAAAAUCUCAAAAAUGGAUAGAACAAGGAUAAUAUUCCACCACAAUGCACUCAACUCAACACCACCUUUUACUCCAAACUAGUUAGUAUUCCGCAGAAAUGCCAUAUUGGAAGAUUUACAAAAGGAUAGUAAGAGCAUGUUCAUCCACAGAAGACACCAAAAUCAAAAUUAUGCAAGUUCUGCAGAAAUGUUGCAGUCCAAAAACAUACAAAGUAAUAAAAUGUGGUCAUCAAUUGUCCAAAACUCAAUAAAAAGCUACCUGCUUCCCAAAACUCAAUUGGGAGCUACCUCAAUAGCAGAAUUAAAUACGCAAAGCAAUAUUUGUAAUACAAAGUCCAUGCCAUUUGUUCAACUGACCAGAUACUAAUUUAUAUUACAAUUAAAAACUUGAGUUGUGAGAAAACAACAAAAAUAUGAACUACAGAACUCCAUUAACUCUUUUCAAAUACUUAUUAAGAAAAAGACCGAGAUUUUCUUUCGGGUGUCGGUAGUUUUUAAAAGGAUGAAACAAUGUAAGUUUCCACUUGAGUGCAGAGCAUCAAUCAAAAUUUAUUCACAUCUUUCAAAAAAAAAAAAAUUACUAUCAAUUUUUCACAACUCAAUAAAUCUUAAGCUCAAGUCCUAGUAACAGCAGGCAAGGACAAAGAAGGAAAACAGUUAGCAGUAGAGGUAGAACUGGUAAUAACUAAGUUAAAAUGGUAACAGAUAAUAUAUACAAAUGAAGAAUAUGGCAAGAGAAAAUAUAGGUCUACAAAAUACCAUCAAUGUAAAAUGAAUACUUUGAUAUCAAUUCAUGAAUCAAACAAGAUAUAAUUCGUGAUCUGUAAACAAAUAGAUUAGGACACAGUUCAGAAGAUAUAGCUACUAAAAAUGCAUACACUAAGAAUCUCCUUUAGUUAUCCACCGAUUGGUGAUUUGAUCUUGUCAGUCUUAUUUGACUUACCACAUUAUAAUUAAUUCAGUGUCAUUUUCUUCUAACUACGCAAAAAUUCCAUGGAAAAUAAGUUAUCAAUCAACAGACUGUAAUAAUUAUAUGAAUAUUUAAAAUCAUCUAAAACACAUCAAAACCAUCAUAAGCAUAGGAAGUCAAGUUACAUUUUCAAUAGUAGAGAGUAGACUUGAGUUGCUCACGGAUAGAUUCAUCGGCCUGAUUCCUACAACACUAAACUGAUUGGCUUUGCAGAACACAAUCAAAAAACCUCAAGAUAAUAAAAAUAGCAUAGAUAGCAACACAGCUAAAAAAACAAAUGAAAUUAAUCAGAUGAAUUAUUAGCGGAUCGAUCAGUGAGUAGGAACCCAAAUGCUC